ACAAGAACCGUGAUGGCGGACAGAAGGGUUCGGUGACCAGUGACACUCUUUCAAUUUCCUCCACUCCCAGAACUCAGGCGUGGUGCUUGAAACAGAAACCAGUCAGAGGGUAGGGGCACUUUGAAGGCGAAGCACAAGUGGUAAGGGAUUUCAAAGAGAGUGGCUGGGUGAAGCAGCGCCGCAGCAGCCGUGCCCAGCCGCCCAGGUGAAGUCCUCCUCCCCGACGCUCGUGUUUCCCAUCUCGCAGCGUGUGAGGCGCCCCAUGUCUGCUGUGAGGCCAGUCAGCCUCCAGCCAGUUAACCUCCAACCAGUCAGCAAGCCAGCCAACCUCCAGCCAGUCAGCAAGCCAGCCAGCCAGCCAACCUCCAGCCAGCCAGCCAGUCAGCUUCGAGCCAACCAGCCAGCCAUCAACCCAGCCACCCUCAAAGUGUCACGUAGCCUCACGUGACAUGAAGACACUGUUUGGAAUUGCUAUGGGGGAAAGUGGCUGGAUUAGAGAUGCGCAUGCUAGUCUGAUUCCACGUGACUGCCGCGUGAGGAGACGAGUCUGGUACGCACGCCCACGCCCACCGCUCUCCUCUCUGCCGCCUGACCGGCGCUGGAACGAGCCACUCAGCCCCUCUUGCCGGCUCCCACAGGCAUCAUCAUUAUUAAUACUCGGAAUGUUUUUGUAUUUGUGGCAUAAAAAGACCAUGUUUUUUUUUUUUUUUUUUUUUUUGUACUUACGCUCAAUAAAUGACUAAGAUUGCUUGUAAUUCGCAAGUAUUUAUUUUAUCUAAUUCCUUCUAAGACAGCGCCAUCAAAAUGUGACUGAUUGUAAAAUCAUUGCACAAGAUGUACAGAGUCGGUGAGGUGAGAGAAGAGUGUGUUGAAAGACAAUGGAAAUAUAAAUGAAAUAAAAAAAAUGAUAAGUAAAUAAAUUAAAAGAAAUAG